UUGAUUAUCAGCAAAAAAAUUACUAAACUAAUCAUCAAAGUAAGUUUUUGCAUCAACAGAUAACAAACCACCAGAUGAUGAACUAGAUUCUCCAGCAUAACUAGCUUAUUUCUUCUUCUUAGGUUUCACAAACCUAUCUUCAUACACUUUCCUUAUGGAUUUCUCCAAAUAUAAGUAAACACCAUUUAAAUCAGGUUAAUACCUCAUCAUGGAGAUAAUCGGUUCUUUCAACAUUUUCGAAGCUUCCAACGAAUCAGCCUCCCCG
rnacentral:lncRNA from 1 species